rnacentral:rRNA from 1 species
GGGUGUUAAACCCGCCCGCGUAAUGAAAGUGAACGUAGGUGAAGAAGCUUCGGCGCAUCAUCGACCGAUCCUGAUGUAUUCGGAUGGAUUUGAGUAAGAGCUAUACUGGACGGACCCGAAAGAUGGUGAACUAUGCCUGAAUAGGGUGAAGCCAGAGGAAACUCUGGUGGAGGCUCGCAGCGGUUCUGACGUGCAAAUCGAUCGUCAAAUUUGGGCAUGGGGGCGAAAGACUAAUCGAACCAUCUAGUAGCUGGUUACCGCCGAAGUUUCCCUCAGGAUAGCAGUGUUGUUUUCAGUUUUAUGAGGUAAAGCGAAUGAUUAGGGACUCGGGGGCGAUUUUUAGCCUUCAUCCAUUCUCAAACUUUAAAUAUGUAAGAAGCCCUUGUUACUUAAUUGAACGUGGGCAUUCGAAUGUAUCAACACUAGUGGGCCAUUUUUGGUAA